UACAGAGGGUGCAAGCGUUAAUCGGAAUUACUGGGCGUAAAGGGCGCGUAGGUGGUUAUUUAAGUCAGAUGUGAAAUCCCUGGGCUUAACCUAGGAAUUGCAUUUGAAACUAGAUGGCUAGAGUAUGGUAGAGGGAAGUGGAAUUUCCGGUGUAGCGGUGAAAUGCGUAGAUAUCGGAAGGAACACCAGUGGCGAAGGCGACUUCCUGGACCAUUACUGACACUGAGGCGCGAAAGCGUGGGGAGCGAGCAGG
rnacentral:rRNA from 1 species